GCUCCUUGGGUGGCGAGUGGCGGACGGGUGAGGAAUACAUCGGAAUCUACUCUGUCGUGGGGGACAACGUUUCGAAAGGAACGCUAAUACCGCAUACGUCCUACGGGAGAAAGCAGGGGACCUUCGGGCCUUGCGCUAUCAGAUGAGCCUAGGUCGGAUUAGCUAGUUGGUGAGGUAACGGCUCACCAAGGCGACGAUCCGUAACUGGUCUGAGAGGAUGAUCAGUCACACUGGAACUGAGACACGGUCCAGACUCCUACGGGAGGCAGCAGUGGGGAAUAUUGGACAAUGGGCGAAAGCCUGAUCCAGCCAUGCCGCGUGUGUGAAGAAGGUCUUCGGAUUGUAAAGCACUUUAAGUUGGGAGGAAGGGCAUUAACCUAAUACGUUAGUGUUUUGACGUUACCGACAGAAUAAGCACCGGCUAACUUCGUGCCAGCAGCCGCGGUAAUACGAAGGGUGCAAGCGUUAAUCGGAAUUACUGGGCGUAAAGCGCGCGUAGGUGGUUUGUUAAGUUGAAUGUGAAAGCCCCGGGCUCAACCUGGGAACUGCAUCCAAAACUGGCAAGCUAGAGUAUGGCAGAGGGUGGUGGAAUUUCCUGUG
rnacentral:rRNA from 1 species